rnacentral:rRNA from 1 species
UACAGAGGGUGCAAGCGUUGUUCGGAAUUAUUGGGCGUAAAGCGCACGUAGGUGGCCAACUAAGUCAGACGUGAAAUCCCUCGGCUUAACCGAGGAACUGCGUCUGAUACUGGAUGGCUUGAGUUUGGGAGAGGAAUGCGGAAUUCCAGGUGUAGCGGUGAAAUUCGUAGAUAUUCGCAAGAACACCAGUGGCGAAGGCGGCUCACUGGCCCGGUACUGACGCUGAGGUGCGAAAGCGUGGGGAGCAAACAGG